rnacentral:rRNA from 1 species
GAUGAACGCUAGCGGCAGGCUUAAUACAUGCAAGUCGAGGGGCAUCAAGGUACACGAAAGUGUAUUGUUGGCGACCGGCGGACGGGGAGUAAUAGGUAGGUAACCUACCUCAUACUGAGGCAUAGCUGGGAGAAAUUCCAGGUAAUUCCUCAUGAGGUUAUAUGACACAUGUGAUAUAAUCAAAGGUAUCGCAAGGUACUGGUAUGAGAUGGGCUUACUGACCAUUAGCUAGUUGGUGAGAUAAGAGCUCACCAAGGCGAAGAUGGUUAGGGGUUUUGAGAGAGAGAUCCCCCACAUUGGAACUGAGAUACGGUCCAGACUCCUACGGGAGGCAGCAGUAGGGAAUAUUGGGCAAUGGGCGGAAGCCUGACCCAGCCAUGCCGCGUGAAGGAAGACGGCCUUAUGGGUUGUAAACUUCUUUACUAUGCGACUAACUAGAUUUACGAGAUAAUUCUAUAGAAUGUAGCAUAGCAAAAGCACCGG